UACGGAGGGUGCAAGCGUUAUCCGGAUUCACUGGGUUUAAAGGGUGCGUAGGCGGGUUGGUAAGUCAGUGGUGAAAUCCCCGAGCUUAACUUGGGAACUGCCAUUGAUACUAUCAGUCUUGAAUAUUGUGGAGGUUAGCGGAAUAUGUCAUGUAGCGGUGAAAUGCUUAGAUAUGACAUAGAACACCAAUUGCGAAGGCAGCUGGCUACACAUAUAUUGACACUGAGGCACGAAAGCGUGGGGAUCAAACAGG
rnacentral:rRNA from 1 species